rnacentral:rRNA from 1 species
AUUGAACGCUGGCGGCAGGCCUAACACAUGCAAGUCGAGCGAGCGGCGGACGGGUGAGUAAUGUAUGGGGACUGCCCGAUAGAGGGGGAUAACUACUGGAAACGGUGGCUAAUACCGCAUACUAUCGUAUAUCCCAUAUGGGAUUAUCUAGUAGGUGUGGUAAAGGCUCACCUAGGCGACGAUCUCUAGCUGGUCUUAGAGGAUGAUCAGCAACACUGGGACUGAGACACGGCCCAGACUCCUACGGAGGCAGCAGUGGGGAAUAUUGCACAAUGGGCGCAAGCCUGAUGGAGCAAUGCCGCGUGUAUGAAGAAGGCCUUAGGGUUGUAAAGUACUUUAAGCGGGGAGGCGGUACCCGAAGAAGAAGCAACGGCUAACUCCGUGCCAGCAGCCGCGGUAAUAG